rnacentral:misc_RNA from 1 species
AGGUCAACGAGAAGAGACUUGCGGUGGGAGGGAUUAGUGGCGUUGGAUUGAAGAGCACGAGGGAAGUAGAGAUUUUCCAUCGCCGAUAGCCUCUCUGUAAUGCUCUCCAUUGCUUCUUUCCUCACUGUUCCCUGCAUUUUGUUUCUCUUUUUUCUGUCCCCCUUCCCUCCACCGGGCUUUCUCUCCGUUCUAUAUUUUUACGCUUC